AAAGAAGCAGUUACAUCCCUAUUUAUAGAGUUCCACCCAGAGUCCAUCAGCACUUGAACUCUAAUAAUAAAUAAAUAUUAAAUAAACCUUUACUUGACUCUAACUGAACCAAACCGAUUCAAUAAACAACUGGACUAAACAAACUCAAUAAACAUUAUUCAAAAGCUCAGAAAAAGGAUCCUAACAUAUGAUAACCUUGAACUUC
rnacentral:lncRNA from 1 species